GUGGCUCUGGGCCCCUCAGCAGCAGGCCAGUGGAGAGGUGAGACUAGCAGUGUGUGGCCUGGGACAGGAGUAGAUAAAAGGCAGCCAUGGAGGUGGACUUGUCUGCCGGGCCAUUUCCUUCCCACCUAAGCUCCUGCCAGAUGGCUCCCAGUUGCUGUGUUUGAGCCCAGGCUGACCACUUCCUAGGCAGUGGCGUUGGAGAUGGGUGUGGCCUUGCCUCCAGGAUCUCCUCACAGCUUGUGCUUCCUGACAGCUGUGGACACUUGGGCUGACUGCAGACCUCCCGCUACCCUGAUUUCCAGCAAGUGAGCCAGCGCCAUGAGGAGUGGCUGCCUCUUGAAUCCUGUCAGUCUCCGGCAGAUCCGAUUACAUCUGGGACCCUUAAGAGUACUUGAAGCAAACGGCGCUGGUCUAUUUUAAUCCUGCUCCUUCUAGAAACUAGAAACUGUAAGGAGAGUCUUCCUGCUGACAGGUGGCUCCAUAAAAGUCGUCCAUCUGCUGCUAAUUAUGGCAGAAAGAAAAUUCACAGAGCCGAGUUUUCAGUUUAUUUGCUAAAGAUCUCCAAAGGUGUAACUGUCUUCCCAGAUCACAAGGCCAUUCACAGCGUUACAUCUAUAGCGCUUGUUAAUUAUUUAAAUAAUUUACAACUCGGGGUGGCAGCGAGCAUUUAACAGAAGUCUGGCUGGGUGAGGAUGGGUUUGAUGGUUGAUCAUGGCAGAGGAGGAGAAUCUGUUUUCACAGCUCACAGAAUCUAGACUUGUGGGGUUUUGUUGUUCUCCUUACCAUUCUUUCCAAGGGAAACUCAAAAAAGGGUCAGAAUUUGGAAUAUUUUGGACUUGAUUGCUUUGAUUCCCAAACUUCAGUUCAUCUCCCUCUCCUCUUCAUGGUUUCAUCUAUAAAAUGGGUACAAUCUCUCAACUGUUUAACUCAGAAGGCUUUUGUGAUCUUGGAAUAGGAUAAUUUAUUAAAAAGUGUCAUGUAUAGCAUAAUAUAUAAAGAAUUUUAGACCCAUGAAAUAGAUAGAAAUGAGUAAAUCUGAUAGGUCAGAUGAUAAAAUAAUUUAAUAAUAAAAGACAGAUAUUUUUCCCUU
rnacentral:lncRNA from 1 species